GAACGUACGCUGGCGGCACGCCUAACACAUGCAAGUCGAACGAAGUAGCAAUACUUAGUGGCAGACGGGUGAGUAACAUGUAGGUAUCUGCCCUUUGGCCUGGAAUAACACGAGGAAACUUGUGCUAAUACCGGAUAAGUCUUUACGGAGAAAGCUUUAUGCACCAUUGGAUGAGCCUGCACUUGAUUAGUUUGUUGGUGGGGUAAUGGCCUACCAAGACUGUGAUCAAUAGCUGAUUUGAGAGGAUGAUCAGCCACAUUGGGACUGAGACACGGCCCAAACUCCUACGGGAGGCAGCAGUGGGGAAUCUUGCACAAUGGAGGAAACUCUGAUGCAGCGAUGCCGCGUGAGUGAAGAAGGCCUUUGGGUUGUAAAGCUCUUUCGUCGGGGAAGAAAAUGACUGUACCCGAAUAAGAAGGUCCGGCUAACUUCGUGCCAGCAGCCGCGGUAAUACGAAGGGACCUAGCGUAGUUCGGAAUUACUGGGCUUAAAGAGUUCGUAGGUGGUUGAAAAAGUUAGUGGUGAAAUCCCAGAGCUUAACUCUGGAACUGCCAUUAAAACUUUUCAGCUAGAGUAUGAUAGAGGAAAGCAGAAUUUCUAGUGUAGAGGUGAAAUUCGUAGAUAUUAGAAAGAAUACCAAUUGCGAAGGCAGCUUUCUGGAUCAUUACUGACACUGAGGAACGAAAGCAUGGGUAGCGAAGAGGAUUAGAUACCCUCGUAGUCCAUGCCGUAAACGAUGUGUGUUAGACGUUGGAAAUUUAUUUUCAGUGUCGCAGGGAAACCGAUAAACACACCGCCUGGGGAGUACGACCGCAAGGUUAAAACUCAAAUGAAUUGACGGGGACCCGCACAAGUAGUGGAGCAUGUGGUUUAAUUCGAAGAUACGCGCAGAACCUUACCAACACUUGACAUGUUCGUCGCAACUCUAAGAGAUUAGAGUUUUCGGUUCGGCCGGACGAAACACAGGUGCUGCAUGGCUGUCGUCAGCUCGUGUCGUGAGAUGUUGGGUUAAGUCCCGCAACGAGCGCAACCCUCACUUUUAGUUGCCAUCAUUAAGUUGGGCACUCUGAAAGAACUGCCAGUGAUAAGCUGGAGGAAGGUGGGGAUGACGUCAAGUCCUCAUGGCCCUUACGUGUUGGGCUACACACGUGCUACAAUGGUAUCUACAACAGGAAGCAAGACGGCGACGUCAAGCAAAUCCCUAAAAGAUACCUCAGUUCGGAUUGCACUCUGCAACUCGAGUGCAUGAAGCUGGAAUUACUAGUAAUCGUGGAUCAGCGUGCCACGGUGAAUGCGUUCCCGGGUCUUGUACUCACC
rnacentral:rRNA from 1 species